rnacentral:rRNA from 1 species
GUUGGUGAGGUAACGGCUCACCAAGGCGACGAUCCCUAGCUGGUCUGAGAGGAUGACCAGCCACACUGGAACUGAGACACGGUCCAGACUCCUACGGGAGGCAGCAGUGGGGAAUAUUGCACAAUGGGCGCAAGCCUGAUGCAGCCAUGCCGCGUGUAUGAAGAAGGCCUUCGGGUUGUAAAGUACUUUCAGCGGGGAGGAAGGUGUUG